rnacentral:rRNA from 1 species
GCAGCGGAAAGUAGCUUGCUAAUUUGCCGGCGAGCGGCGGACGGGUGAGUAAUGUCUGGGAAACUGCCUGAUGGAGGGGGAUAACUACUGGAAACGGUAGCUAAUACCGCAUAAYGUCGCAAGACCAAAGAGGGGGACCUUCGGGCCUCUUGCCAUCAGAUGUGCCCAGAUGGGAUUAGCUAGUAGGUGGGGUAACGGCUCACCUAGGCGACGAUCCCUAGCUGGUCUGAGAGGAUGACCAGCCACACUGGAACUGAGACACGGUCCAGACUCCUACGGGAGGCAGCAGUGGGGAAUAUUGCACAAUGGGCGCAAGCCUGAUGCAGCCAUGCCGCGUGUAUGAAGAAGGCCUUCGGGUUGUAAAGUACUUUCAGCGGGGAGGAAGGYGWURWGGUUAAUAACCWYRUCRAUUGACGUUACCCGCAGAAGAAGCACCGGCUAACUCCGUGCCAGCAGCCGCGGUAAUACGGAGGGUGCAAGCGUUAAUCGGAAUUACUGGGCGUAAAGCGCACGCAGGCGGUCUGUCAAGUCGGAUGUGAAAUCCCCGGGCUCAACCUGGGAACUGCAUUCGAAACUGGCAGGCUAGAGUCUUGUAGAGGGGGGUAGAAUUCCAGGUGUAGCGGUGAAAUGCGUAGAGAUCUGGAGGAAU